GAUGAACGCUGGUGGCGUGCCUAAUACAUGCAAGUCGAGCGAACGGACGAGAAGCUUGCUUCUCUGAUGUUAGCGGCGGACGGGUGAGUAACACGUGGUUAACCUACCUAUAAGACUGGGAUAACUUCGGGAAACCGGAGCUAAUACCGGAUAAUAUUUUGAACCGCAUGGUUCAAAAGUGAAAGACGGUCUUGCUGUCACUUAUAGAUGGAUCCGCGCUGCAUUAGCUAGUUGGUAAGGUAACGGCUUACCAAGGCAACGAUGCAUAGCCGACCUGAGAGGGUGAUCGGCCACACUGGAACUGAGACACGGUCCAGACUCCUACGGGAGGCAGCAGUAGGGAAUCUUCCGCAAUGGGCGAAAGCCUGACGGAGCAACGCCGCGUGAGUGAUGAAGGUCUUCGGAUCGUAAAACUCUGUUAUUAGGGAAGAACAUAUGUGUAAGUAACUGUGCACAUCUUGACGGUACCUAAUCAGAAAGCCACGGCUAACUACGUG
rnacentral:rRNA from 1 species